AUGUUGCAGAAUGGGAUUGACUUAAGUACAGUGGAUGUUAGUUAUGUCAGUAGUCGAUCCUGGUACUUCCUGAAUCUGUUUGGGCUAAGGGGGUUCUUUAGUCUCAUCUUGGGGGAAGAAAAUGCUGUAGAUGAUACGCAACGUAUGAUGCAAAUGGGUGGGUUUGGUUUUGAUCCUUCAAAGGGUCUCAGUGCUGAGAAAGACAAUCUUGACAUAACCCAGCAUGAUUGGGCUUUACCCAAUUUUGAGCAGCGUGCGGAAACUGUACUGAAGAAACUGGUCAGCUGAACAGCUCAUGACACGGGCAGUUUAAUGAUUUGCUCUGUGAUCAGCCCAAAUACAGCAGCAAAGUGUGUGAUUGGGCUUCAACUAUUGCUGUCGGCCUGUGAAAUAUAACUGAUCAAGUUGAGAUCGUAGAUUUUAUUUCUAAGCUGAAAGUUGAUGAUAUUUAUAAAUAUUUAUCCGAAAACAAGUUCACAAUCUUUGUAGAAAGAGCAGAAAUUUUAUUAUUGCUUUCUAAUUUUAGGUUGGUCACGAGAAACUAGUUUCCCAUGAAAUGCGAGACCCUGCACUUUUUUGUAACUUUCGUCUGUUUCCUAGAUUGAUUGAAAAGUUUUGUCUGAUAUAUGAUUC